rnacentral:rRNA from 1 species
AGAGUUUGAUCCUGGCUCAGAAUCAACGCUGGCGGCGUGCCUAACACAUGCAAGUCGAACGAGAAAGGGGAGCAAUCCCUGAGUACAGUGGCGCACGGGUGAGUAACACGUGACUAACCUACCCUGGAGCGGGGAAUAACUGAGGGAAACCUUAGCUAAUACCGCAUAAUACCUACGGGUCAAAGGAGCAAUUCGCUUCAGGAGGGGGUCGCGGCCGAUUAGCUAGUUGGCGGGGUAAUGGCCCACCAAGGCAAUGAUCGGUAUCCGGCCUGAGAGGGCGCACGGACACACUGGAACUGAAACACGGUCCAGACUCCUACGGGAGGCAGCAGUGGGGAAUUUUGCGCAAUGGGGGAAACCCUGACGCAGCAACGCCGCGUGGAGGAUGAAAUCCCUUGGGAUGUAAACUCCUUUCGAUCGGGACGAUUAUGACGGUA